rnacentral:rRNA from 1 species
AUUGAACGCUGGCGGCAGGCCUAACACAUGCAAGUCGAACGAGUGGCGGACGGGUGAGUAAUGUCUGGGAAACUGCCUGAUGGAGGGGGAUAACUACUGGAAACGGUAGCUAAUACCGCAUACCAUCGGAUGUGCCCAGCUGGGAUUAGCUAGUAGGUGGGGUAACGGCUCCCCUAGGCGACGAUCCAUAGCUGGCCUGAGAGGAUGACCAGCCACACUGGAACUGAGACACGGUCCAGAAUGCGACGGGAGGCAGCAGUGGGGAAGAUUGCACGAUGGGCGAAAGCCUGAUGCAGCCAUGCCGCGUGUAUGAAGAAGGCCUUCGGGUUGUAAAGUACUUUCAGCGGGGAGGCGUGGCCCGCAGAAGAAGCACCGGCUAACUACGUGCCAGCAGCCGCGGUAAUAC